GGUUUGUAAGCUCAGUGAUAGAGCACUUGCCUAGCAUAUGCAAGGCCCUGGGUUUGAUCCUCAGCACCA
rnacentral:tRNA from 1 species